rnacentral:lncRNA from 1 species
CAAAUUUCUGGGAUUUUAAUGGGAUUUAAUGGGAUUGAUUGGGAUUGAUUGGGAUUUAGUGAGAUUGGGAUUGGUGGGAAUGGGAUUUAUUGGGAUUUGUUGGGAUUUAUUGGGAUUUGUUGGGAUUUAUUGGGAUUUAUUGGGAUUUAUUUGGAUUUAUUUGGAAUAGGAUUUAUUGGGAUUGAUUGGGAUUGAUUGGGGUUUAUUGGGAUUUAUUGGGAUUUAUUGGGAUUGGGAUUUAUUUGGAAUGGGAUUUAUUGGGAUUGAUUGGGAUUUAUUGGGAUUUAUUGGGAUUUAUGGAGAUUUAUUGGGAUUUAUUGGGAUUCAUUGGGAAUGGGAUUUAUUGGGAUUGAUUGUGAAUCGGAUUGGUGGGAAUGAGAUUUAUUGGGAUUUAUUGGGAUUUAUUGGGAUUUAUUGGGAACUCCCUGGAGAACCACAGGAACUCCAGUUAUUCCGUGAGAAUUCCCAAAAUUUGGGAUUUAUUGGGAUUGAUUGGGAUUGAUUGGGAUUUAUUGGGAUUGGGAUUCAUUGGGAAUGGGAUUGAUUGGGAUUGAUUGGGAUUUAUUGGGGUUUAUGGGGAUUGAUUGGGAUUUAUUGGGAUUGGGAUUUAUUUGGAAUGGGAUUUAUUGGGAUUGAUUGGGAUUUAUAGGAAUUUAUUGGAAUUUAUUGGGAUUUAUUGGGAUUUAUUGGGAUUUAUUUGGAAUGGGAUUGAUUGGGAUUUAUUGGAAUUUAUUGGAUUUAUUGGGAUUUAUUGGGAUUGGGAUUCAUUGGGAGUGGGAUUUAUUGGGAUUGAUUUGGAUUCAUUGGGAUUCAUUGGGAUUUAUUGGGAUUUAUUGGGAUUUAUUGGGAUUUAUUUGGAUUGGGAUUUAUUGGGAAUGGGAUUUAUUGGGAUUGAUUGGGAUUGAUUGGGGUUUAUUGGCAUUUAUUGGGAUUUAUUGGGAUUUAUUGGGAUUUAUUGGGAUUGGGAUUUAUUGGGAAUGGGAUUGAUUGGGAUUUUUUGGGAUUUAUUGGCAUUUAUUAGGAUUUAUUGGGAAUUAUUGGGAUUGGGAUUUAUUGGGAUUUAUUGGGAAUGGGAUUGGUGGGAAUGAGAUUUACUGGGAUUUAUUGGGAUUUAUUGGGAAUUAUUGGGAUUGGGAUUUAUUGGGAUUUAUUGGGAUUUAUUGGGAUUGGGAUUCAUUGGGAGUGGGAUUUAUUGGGAUUGAUUGGGAUUGAUUGGGAUUUAUCAGGAUUUAUUAGGAUUUAUUGGGAUUCAUUGGGAUUCAUUGGGAUUUAUUGGGAUUUAGUGAGAUUGGGAUUUAUUGGGAUUCAUUGGGAUUCAUUGGGAUUUAUUGGGAUUUAUUGGGAUUGAUUGGGAUUGAUUGGGAUUUAUUGGGAUUAAUUGGGAUUUAUUGGGAAUGGGAUUGGUGGGAAUGGGAUUUAUUGGGAUUGAUUGGGAUUUAUUGGGAUUUAUUGGGAUUUAGUGAGAUUGGUGUUGGUGGGAAUGGGACUUAUUGGGAUUUGUUGGGAUUUAUUGGGAUUUAUUUGGAUUUAUUUGGAAUAGGAUUGAUUGGGAAUGGGAUUUAUUGGGAUUCAUUGGGAUUCAUUGGGAUUUAUUGGGAUUCAUUGGGAUUUAUUGGGAUUUAUUUGGAUUGGGAUUUAUUGGGAAUGGGAUUUAUUGGGAUUGAUUGGGAUUCAUUGGGAUUUAUUGGGAUUUACUGGGAACUCCCUGGAGCACCACAGAAAUUCCAGUUAUUCCGUGAGAAUUCCCAAAAUUUGGGAUUUAUUGGGGUUUAUUGGGAUUGAUUGGGAUUGAUUGGGAUUGAUUGGGGUUUAUUGGGAUUGAUUGGGAUUGGGAUUCAUUGGGAUUCAUUGGGAUUUAUUGGGAAGGGGAUUCAUUGGGAUUUAUUGGGAUUUUUUGGGAUUUAGUGAGAUUGGGAUUCAUUGGGAUUUAUUUGGAAUGGGAUUUAUUGGGAUUUGGGGGAUUGGGAUUUAUUUGCAUUGGGAUUUA